AGCACCGGAGAAGAAAUGUGCGUACAGUUCGGACGUUUGUCAUUAGAAUCUCUUAUUUUUAGUGCGUAUAUUUUGGCUAACUUUUUUAACAUUGUAUCGGUGAUCUCUUUACUCAUCUCUGAUGCAAGCGUAGGAAAUAAAUUCAAAAUAAGAAAUUUGUUUACCUUUUAUCUUUAAUGUAAUAUUUGGAGAAAAUUAAGUAUAUAUUAAGAUAGAACAAGCUGACAAAGUUUUGUGGAAGAAAACUGGGUCAUGAUGUAUACAGAAAACAAAGAUAUAAUUUUUGCAGCACUUAUGCAAUUGUAACAUUAUAAAGUAACCAGUUUAUAAACUUGAGUGGAAUAAACAUUAAUUUUAAAAUAUAAAACAUUUUUAAAAUAGUUAUAAGAAUUAAUUGUUAAUUUAUCCAACUUUAACAUAAUGCAAAUAGAAACAUGAGCAUUAGUUAAAUUAUGUAUGUAUUUAAAGUGUAUUAUCUGAUUAUUCUAUUUAAAAUCUCUACCCUGUAUAGAAUUUUCGAUAAGAAAUGCAUGAGAAUUUAUAAAAUAAGGUUAAAAUUACAUGUUCAUAAAUACUAAAUAUUUUGGAAGAUAUUAAUGGCACUUUGCACGAUCGGAUGACUAUUUGCACUACACUUUCUAUUAUAACUGAUUCUAGGAAAUUAGAAUACAUUUACCUAUAAAAAAUCUUCUGUAGAUGUUACUGUAGCUUCUAUAAGCAGGCCAAAAUCUAACUCAGCUAGACUAGCUGUAAAAUAUAAUUAAUUAAUAAUUAAUUAAUAAUUGGAAUAAGAUUUGUGGGAUAAUAAUAUAUUUGGUUCGUACCUUUUGCUGUAAGAAGAUCAAGAAAUGUGUCCAACGGAGAUAAACGAUCUGCUGAAGGAAAUGCUGCUAAACCUGUAUAUAAUUUAUUUAAUAAAAAGAUAGCUGGAAAUA